CAACUGGAUGACGCAUGCAAUGACGCUAAUUCCGUCCAGAAUACCAGCCCAGCACGGUCUCCUCCUGCGACCAGCUGUCACAGCUCACGGCCAAUGAUCUCCCGACACGUGAUCUCUAUGUGAGCCGUUCGAAUCGAACCGCCUCAUCUCCGCCGCUCGCUUUGGCCAACGGGAGUGGGUACCAUAAAUAAAUACCUUUGUUUCCGCCAAUUAUUCGAUAACCAAGAACAAACCAUUGUUGGACGCGUUCCCCUCCUGCACGCAACCUCAUCUCGUCCUCCAGAUCCAGGAUGGCCGUCCUCCUUGAGACCUUGCCUCCCCGAGUGCUCUCGGUGAGCUACUUUGUUUCGAUUUAUCAGGAAAUCCGUUUGCUUCAUGUUGUGCAGGCUCAUAUCUGAUUGCUGGAUUCGGCAAACCCGCGUUGGAUCCUGUAUCGGUUAGUCCUUGCCUGCAAGGUUCUUGUUGUUUUGUUUUGGUGGUCGAGCAUCGCAUGUUCUGCUUCUGGAUCCAGAUCUGGAGAAAUCGCGAAGUCGUCGUCGUUCGGUUCGGAGCGGAUCUGAGGCGACGAUAGAUGGAGGCGGCGGGAUCUCUCGGUCUGCAGUCCUGCUCCACCUCGAUGGAUGAUGUCUCUGCGCUGAUAAUUAUUGGAUCAAUUUCGAUAAUUAUUAGUAGAUCUAUGAGAUAUGCCGCCUGGAAGAGGCGAGGUAAGCUGCAGCAUGUAAAAAAGAGAAAAAAGAUGUGACAUCCUAGAGGAGGAGGCCUUUGCCAUGAUGGGUGCGCUCGCAUGGCAGGCCAGGCAAUAAUAAAAAGAUGAUUAUUGCGUGCCGGGGGAGGAGAUCGCACGGGGGUUGAUGUUUUUGGCCCCGGGUUCUCCUCCCUCAUCUUGUUCCGUGUUCCUGUAUGCGUUGCUUCCGCUCCUGUUGGUCCGCUACGCACGCCGGAUUUUUGCAUCGAGCACGGAGAUCUACAACAAAAACAUGGAGCUACGACGCGAUUCCCAAGUAUGAUGGAUUCCACUAUUCAUCAACCGAAAUUAUGGCGCGCUUCAAUCGUGGCUACGCUGAUGGGGAACUGAUCCGUUAUGGUGUGCUUGGAUCGUGGCUGUGUGGAGAUGUGUGGAACUCAUUGGUUAUAAUGGUGAUGCUGAUGGAACUGAUUUUGCUCCCGUUGGACGGCCUGAUUGGUUACUUUGCCCUGUUGACUGUUUGAGAACGUACCGCCCAGGUUUACUUAUACUUACUGCUUUUUGACGGUACUGUACAUACAGUUCGACAAUUUAUUUAUUGGCAGUUCAAUUCAUCCAUUUAGCUAGGGGCACGAGAGCAUGAGUUCCCCUGGAGAUCAAUUUCAUGUUGCUUUUUUUUUGCGAAGUUCCAUUUUCUAUUUUCAAUUUGAUUAGGGCUAGUUUGGGAACUUAUUCUUCCAAGGUUUCCUAAGGAAAAUUAGUUCAUUUUUUUUUUUGGGAAAAUGAAGUUUCCAAAAGGGUUUCAAAUCCAUGGUGGUGUGGGAAUUGAUUGCAGUAAAGGCGAUGGGUAAGCUGAUACCGGUGGGUUGAGAAUUAGACCAUCAGUAGCUUACUCUUUCCCAUAUUUAAACUAUAAUCUACACUACAAAAUAGUGCAAAAGGUGUUCAUAGUGACCUAUGAAUAAUAUAAUCUACACUACAAAAAUAGUCCAAAAGGUGUUUGUAGUGACCAUAUAUGGGUGUACAUUGUACCUUUUUACAUUGUAUUUGUAGUGAUCAUAUAUGGGUGAACUACUGUACUUUUUUAUAUUGUAGAUCGUAUUAUUUAUAGUGUGCA